UCCUGAUGAUCAGCAAAAACAGUUGUAAAGGUUAGAUGCUAUCAGAAACACAUGUAUGUUCAACAAAUACGCACGAUAUACAAACGAUUUGAAAAGUAAAUAGCGUCGUCGCGUCUGUCACAUAACAUAUAAAAGAUCAUAAAUUCUGGAAUCCUGCACAAAUUAUUCGACGUUAUGUGGAACGAGGAUCUAAAUACUAUUAUUCUACCUACAUUGUCCACAAUGAUUUUCUUUGUAUUCACGGUAAAUUUAUUCCGAUACCUCGUAGGUAGUCCUCAUAUUCAAAUUAGAGACGUUACAAAGGAACAUAAUUGGAAGGCAAUUAGCGGAAUAACCAAGGCGUAUUAUUGCAGUAUUUGCGAAGCUUUACUAUUGAAUCGUGAUGCGCUUUUCUGCGAUUCUUGUGGCGUGUGCGCGGAUCGAGGUUGCGUAAAGUUUGCCAAUAAACGACUAAAAUGCAAGGCUAUAACUCUUAAUAAUGACCAGCUGAUGAAGCAUCAUUGGAUUAAAGGUAAUUUGCCACUUGUUGCCAUGUGUUACAUUUGUGAAGAAGAGUGCGACGCAGAGCCCGGCCUCACAGAUUGGUGGUGUUGCUGGUGUCAGAGAAGUGUUCACGAAACAUGUAAAGCUUCUCUCUCUGAAAUAUGUGAUUUUGGAAAGUUCAGAUUAAUGAUCAUUCCACCGGGAAGCCUAGAGGUAAUAAAUCGACGUAGCACAAUGAGACGCAGGUUACACCUCCGUUCUGUCAUACCACCAAACUGGCCUAAUUGGAAUCCGAUAAUUGUUGUAGGAAAUAGGAAAUCGGGAAACAAUGAUGGAGACCAAAUUUUAUCUCUAUUCCGAAGAUUGUUAAAUCCUGCGCAAAUCGUAGACUUAGCAGAACGUGAUCCAGUCGCUGCCCUCGAAUGGUGCCGUUUGUUAGGGAAAACUCAAUCCACUAUACUCGUAGCCGGGGGCGAUGGAACCGUCGCUUGGUUAUUAAACACCAUCAACAAGCUCGAGUUAAAACCUAUUCCAUCUGUAGCAAUAAUUCCUUUGGGGACAGGCAACGAUUUAUCCAGAGUAUUAGGAUGGGGAAAGGAACACGAUUCGCAUUUGGAUCCCAUGGAAUUGUUGCAGAAGAUUCAAGCAGCGGAGCAGGUGAAAUUUGACAGAUGGUCCGUGACAAUAAAACCAUACGGCGGAUUAGGAUUCAGAGGAUCACAUCGCACCUUAUUCAUGUACAAUUACAUAAGUGUGGGCGUGGACGCACAAGUGACUUUGAAUUUUCAUCGCACGAGGGAGAGUCGAUUUUAUCUGUUUAGUCAUAGAAUAUUUAACAAGCUGUUGUACCUGUGCUUUGGAACGCAACAAGUUGUGGAAAGGGAGUGCAAAGAUCUCGAUAAAAAUUUAGAAGUCUAUUUAGACGAUAAGAAAAUAGAUCUGCCUUCUAUUGAGAGCGUAGUGAUACUUAACAUUCCAUCGUGGGCUGCUGGUGUCGACCUAUGGAAAAUGGGAAUGGAAGACGACGAAGAUUCGGAAGUGCAAAGUAUUAACGAUGGCAAGUUGGAAGUAGUAGCACUUUAUUCUUCAUUCCACAUGGCUCAGCUCCAAGUAGGUCUCUCGAAACCACAUCGGAUUGGCCAAGCUAAUACUGUAAAGAUAAAAUUAUCGCGGUCGUGCGCUAUGCAAGUGGAUGGUGAACCCUGGUAUCAGCAUCCAUGCGAAUUCAACAUAACAUACUGCAAUCAGGCUUCUAUGCUGAUGAGUAACGACUUUUAAAUAUCUGCCGCGUGACCUUAUAGAAGUUUGCACAAAUGCAUUUAUUCAUACGUUACUAUAUGUACAAGUACCAGCUAAUAUUUGCCAAAGUUGUUAGCUACUUAACAGCGAUCAAAAUAUUGGAGUGCAUAAGAAAAAAAAAUGAAGAAUCUCUAGUCAAUGUUAUAUUUACACAAAAGUAUGUAUCGUUAUAUCUUUUAUUGAUUGUAGCUGUUUCGUAAUUCUAUUUAUUGAUGCCGUAUUUAUAAUGAAAAUAUACAAACAAAAUAAAAUAACACAUAAAUAAUGACAUUUUGAUGUGAUGUUUAUGAAAAUUAUUUCUCUAACAACCUGUUUCAAAUAAAUAUUUAUUUCUGUCUUUUUUUGCAGUUUUUUACAUUUAUAUUAAUUAAUGGCUUUAAAAUUUAUAUCAUUAUAUUGGUAUUCGUAAUGUGCAAUACAUUAGCAGCUAAUUUCGGAUGAUUCAAGAAUUCAUUUUGCAGAACCUCAAUCAAAAUUUUAAUUUGUAAUUACAUAAUUUUAAAAUAAUUGUAAAGAAUGAUAACGACAAAUGUAUUUUUUAUUGAUAUUGACAACCGUUUGGAUUUUACAUGAGAUGGCUAGAAUAAUGAAGGACAUUGAUUAAAAUUGUUAAAAAUUGGAAAAAUGAAAUAAGUAGCGGAAACAUCUUUUUUGAUUGCAUAAAACAAUGAACAUUAAAAUAUUUAUAACCGAAAAAUAGAAAAAUUAUUUAAGGAUUCCUUUCUAAAGCAGAAUCCGAAUUGAUCGCAUUUGUAUCGAAGAAUCUUAGCGAGUUGUGGUGGUCCGCAAUAAAAAACU